AUUGAACGCUGGCGGAAUGCUUUACACAUGCAAGUCGAACGGCAGCACGGGGGCAACCCUGGUGGCGAGUGGCGAACGGGUGAGUAAUACAUCGGAACGUGCCCGGUCGUGGGGGAUAACGUAGCGAAAGUUACGCUAAUACCGCAUACGAUCUGAGGAUGAAAGCGGGGGACCUUCGGGCCUCGCGCGCUCGGAGCGGCCGAUGUCAGAUUAGGUAGUUGGUGGGGUAAAGGCCUACCAAGCCGGCGAUCUGUAGCUGGUCUGAGAGGACGACCAGCCACACUGGGACUGAGACACGGCCCAGACUCCUACGGGAGGCAGCAGUGGGGAAUUUUGGACAAUGGGCGCAAGCCUGAUCCAGCCAUUCCGCGUGCAGGACGAAGGCCUUCGGGUUGUAAACUGCUUUUGUAUGGAACGAAAAGGCUCUGGCUAAUACCUGGGGCUCAUGACGGUACCGUAAGAAUAAGCACCGGCUAACUACGUG
rnacentral:rRNA from 1 species